AUGCUUCUACAAGCAUCAUUGUAGAAGCUUCUACAAUCUUCUACAAAGAUUGCCAGUAAGCCACUGGAAGCUUGGGAAAAGCCACGAGGCUGAUUCUCCCUUGCAGCCCUCAGCUUUGAUUUCAGAUUCCUAGCCUCCA